rnacentral:rRNA from 1 species
CCUACGGGAGGCAGCAGUGGGGAAUAGUGGGCAAUGGAGGCAACUCUGACCCAGCAAUGCCGCGUGAGUGAUGAAGGUAAUGUGAUUGUAAAGCUCUUUUCUUGGGAACGAAGAAAGGACGGGACCAAAGGAAUAAGCCCCGGCUAACUACGUGCCAGCAGCCGCGGUAAUACGUAGGGGGCAAGCGUUGUGCGGAAUGACGGGGCGUAAAGGGUGGGUAGGUGGUUUGCUCAGUUAGAUGUGUUAUACCCAGGGCUUAACUCGGGUGCUGCAUCUCAAACGGUUAGACUUGAGUACUGGAUAGGCUAGUGGAAUUCCUCGUGUCGCGGUUUCAUGCGUCGAUAUUA